rnacentral:rRNA from 1 species
AUUGAACGCUGGCGGCAGGCCUAACACAUGCAAGUCGAACGAGUGGCGGACGGGUGAGUAAUGUCUGGGAAACUGCCUGAUGGCGGGGGAUAACUACUGGAAACGGUAGCUAAUACCGCAUACCAUCGGAUGUGCCCAGAUGGGAUUAGCUUGUUGGUGGGGUAACGGCUCACCAAGGCGACGAUCCCUAGCUGGUCUGAGAGGAUGACCAGCCACCCUGGAACGUAGACACGGUCCAGACUCCGACGGGAGGCAGCAGUGGGGAAUAGUGCACAAUGGGCGCAAGCCUGAGGCAGCCCUGCCGCGUGUAUGAAGAAGGCCUGGGGGUUGUAAAGUACUUUCAGCGGGGAGGCGUUACCCGCAGAAGAAGCACCGGCUAACUCCGUGCCAGCAGCCGCGGUAAUUC